CCUACGGGUGGCAGCAGUGGGGAAUAUUGGACAAUGGGCGAAAGCCUGAUCCAGCCAUGCCGCGUGUGUGAAGAAGGCCUUCGGGUUGUAAAGCACUUUCAGUGGGGAAGAAAGCCUUGGGGCUAAUACCCUCGAGGAAGGACAUCACCCACAGAAGAAGCACCGGCUAACUCCGUGCCAGCAGCCGCGGUAAUACGGAGGGUGCGAGCGUUAAUCGGAAUUACUGGGCGUAAAGCGCGCGUAGGCGGUCUGAUAAGCCGGUUGUGAAAGCCCCGGGCUCAACCUGGGAACGGCAUCCGGAACUGUCAGGCUAGAGUGCAGGAGAGGAAGGUAGAAUUCUCGGUGUAGCGGUGAAAUGCGUAGAGAUCGGGAGGAAUACCAGUGGCGAAGGCGGCCUUCUGGACUGACACUGACGCUGAGGUGCGAAAGCGUGGGUAGCAAACAGGAUUAGAUACCCCAGUAGUC
rnacentral:rRNA from 1 species